GACGAACGCUGGCGGCGUGCUUAACACAUGCAAGUCGAACGGAAAGGCCGUGCUUUUGUGGGGUGCUCGAGUGGCGAACGGGUGAGUAACACGUGAGUAACCUGCCCCUGACUUUGGGAUAACUUCAGGAAACUGGGGCUAAUACCGGAUAGGAGCUCCUGCUGCAUGGUGGGGGUUGGAAAGUUUCGGCGGUUGGGGAUGGACUCGCGGCUUAUCAGCUUGUUGGUGGGGUAGUGGCUUACCAAGGCUUUGACGGGUAGCCGGCCUGGGAGGGUGACAGGCCACAUUGGGACUGAGAUACGGCCCAGACUCCUACGGGACGCAACGGUGGGGAAUAUUGCACAGUGGGCGGCAGCCUAAUGCGGCACCACCGCGUGCGGAAUGUCAGCCUUGGGGUUGUGAACCGAUUUCGCCUGUGACGAAGCGUGAGUGACGGUACUGGGUGAAGAAGCACCGGCUAACUCCGUG
rnacentral:rRNA from 1 species